rnacentral:misc_RNA from 1 species
UUGCAAUAACCCCCUUCUCUCUUCUUCCUUCCUUCACCAACCUCUCAAAUCUUCAAGAUUCCCAAAUGUAUCCAUUUUCUUCCCCAUUAUUUCAAACCCCAUUACCCCAAAUCGCUGUAUUCCCAUAAAAACAACCAUUAAGGGAUCUAUGGAGUCCAGGAAUCCCACAAAGGGAAGAAGCACUAGUCCAAGAAAAUUCAAACCCAGAUAUGGAACUUCAAGAAGAUCAACUAUCAAG